UACGAAGGGGGCUAGCGUUGCUCGGAUUUACUGGGCGUAAAGGGCGCGUAGGCGAUAGUUAAGUUGGGGGUGAAAGCCCGGGGCUCAACCUCGGAAUUGCCUUCAAUACUGGCUAUCUUGAGUGUGAGAGAGGUGUGUGGAACUCCGAGUGUAGAGGUGAAAUUCGUAGAUAUUCGGAAGAACACCAGUGGCGAAGGCGAACACACUGGCUCACUACUGACGCUGAGGCGCGAAAGCGUGGGGAGCGAACAGG
rnacentral:rRNA from 1 species